rnacentral:rRNA from 1 species
GACGAACGCUGGCGGCGUGCCUAAUACAUGCAAGUCGAGCGAGCGGAACUAACAGAUUUACCUCGGUAAUGACGCUAGGAAAGCGAGCGGCGGAUGGGUGAGUAACACGUGGGGAACCUGCCCCAUAGUCUGGGAUACCACUUGGAAACAGGUGCUAAUACCGGAUAAGAAAGCAGAUCGCAUGAUCAGCUUUUAAAAGGCGGCGUAAGCUGUCGCUAUGGGAUGGCCCCGCGGUGCAUUAGCUAGUUGGUAAGGUAAAGGCUUACCAAGGCGAUGGUGCAUAGCCGAAUUGAGAGACUGAGCGGCCACAGUGGGACUGAGACACGGCCCAAGCUCCUACGGGAGGCAGCAGUAGGGAAUCUUACACAAUGGACGCAAGUCUGAUGGAGCAGCGCCGCGUGAGUGAAGAAGAUUUUCGGAUCGUAAAGCUCUGUUGUUGGUGAAGAAGGAUAGGGGUAGUAGCUGGCCUUUAUUUGACGGUAAUCGACCAGAAAGUCACGGCUAACUACGUG